NUCAAGCUGACGAGUCCCAAAUAGGACGAAAUGCACAUCCUGGAU
rnacentral:hammerhead_ribozyme from 1 species